UACGUAGGGGGCUAGCGUUGUCCGGAUUUAUUGGGCGUAAAGCGCGUGUAGGCGGCCAGAUAGGUCUGCUGUGAAAACUCGAGGCUCAACCUCGAGCUGUCGGCGGAAACCAUCUGGCUAGAGUCCGGAAGAGGAGAGUGGAAUUCCCGGUGUAGCGGUGAAAUGCGCAGAUAUCGGGAAGAACACCAGUGGCGAAGGCGGCUCUCUGGGACGGUACUGACGCUGAGACGCGAAAGCGUGGGGAGCAAACAGGAUUAGAUACCCUGGUAGUCCACGCCGUAAACGAUGGGUGCUAGGUGUGGGGAGUGUCGACUCUCUCCGUGCCGAAGCUAACGCAUUAAGCACCCCGCCUGGGGAGUACGGCCGCAAGGCUAAA
rnacentral:rRNA from 1 species